UACAGAGGGGGCAAGCGUUAUUCGGAAUUAUUGGGCGUAAAGGGUGCGUAGGCGGGUCUUUAAGUCAGGGGUGAAAUCCUGGAGCUCAACUCCAGAACUGCCUUUGAUACUGAAGAUCUUGAGUUCGGGAGAGGUGAGUGGAACUGCGAGUGUAGAGGUGAAAUUCGUAGAUAUUCGCAAGAACACCAGUGGCGAAGGCGGCUCACUGGCCCAUAACUGACGCUGAGGCACGAAAGCGUGGGGAGCAAACAGG
rnacentral:rRNA from 1 species